ensembl:rRNA 5S_rRNA 5S ribosomal RNA
GUCUACGGCCAUACCACCCUGAACGCGCCCGAUCUCGUCUGAUCUCGGAAGUUAAGCAGGGUCGGGCCUGGUUAGUACUUGGAUGGGAGAAAUAAGAAAAAAUUACUUUUUAUGUGGGAUUGUGGCUU